rnacentral:rRNA from 1 species
CGGUUAAGUUAGAAAGGGCGCACGGUGGAUGCCUUGGCACUAGGAGCCGAUGAAGGACGGGACGAACACCGAUAUGCUUCGGGGAGCUGUAAGCAAGCUUUGAUCCGGAGAUUUCCGAAUGGGGAAACCCACCACUCGUAAUGGAGUGGUAUCCAUAUCUGAAUACAUAGGAUAUGAGAAGGCAGACCCGGGGAACUGAAACAUCUAAGUACCCGGAGGAAGAGAAAGCAAAUGCGAUUCCCUGAGUAGCGGCGAGCGAAACGGGACCAGCCCAAACCAAGAGGCUUGCCUCUUGGGGUUGUAGGACACUCUGUACGGAGUUACAAAGGAACGAGGUAGAUGAAGAGGUCUGGAAAGGCCCGCCAUAGAAGGUAACAGCCCUGUAGUCAAAACUUCGUUCUCUCCUGAGUGGAUCCUGAGUACGGCGGAACACGUGAAAUUCCGUCGGAAUCCGGGAGGACCAUCUCCCAAGGCUAAAUACUCCCUAGUGACCGAUAGUGAACCAGUACCGUGAGGGAAAGGUGAAAAGCACCCCGGAAGGGGAGUGAAAGAGAUCCUGAAACCGUGUGCUUACAAGUAGUCAGAGCCCGUUAACGGGUGAUGGCGUGCCUUUUGUAGAAUGAACCGGCGAGUUACGAUCCCGUGCAAGGUUAAGCAGAAGAUGCGGAGCCGCAGCGAAAGCGAGUCUGAAUAGGGCGAAUUGAGUACGUGGUCGUAGACCCGAAACCAGGUGAUCUACCCAUGUCCAGGGUGAAGUUCAGGUAACACUGAAUGGAGGCCCGAACCCACGCACGUUGAAAAGUGCGGGGAUGAGGUGUGGGUAGGGGUGAAAUGCCAAUCGAACCUGGAGAUAGCUGGUUCUCUCCGAAAUAGCUUUAGGGCUAGCCUCAAGGUAAGAGUCUCGGAGGUAGAGCACUGAUUGGACUAGGGGCCCCUACCGGGUUACCGAAUUCAGUCAAACUCCGAAUGCCGAUGACUUAUCCUUGGGAGUCAGACUGCGAGUGAUAAGAUCCGUAGUCGAAAGGGAAACAGCCCAGACCGCCAGCUAAGGUCCCAAAGUAUACGUUAAGUGGAAAAGGAUGUGGAGUUGCUUAGACAACCAGGAUGUUGGCUUAGAAGCAGCCACCAUUUAAAGAGUGCGUAAUAGCUCACUGGUCGAGUGACUCUGCGCCGAAAAUGUACCGGGGCUAAACGUAUCACCGAAGCUGCGGACUGUUCUUCGAACAGUGGUAGGAGAGCGUUCUAAGGGCUGUGAAGCAAGACCGGAAGGACUUGUGGAGCGCUUAGAAGUGAGAAUGCCGGUAUGAGUAGCGAAAGAGGGGUGAGAAUCCCCUCCACCGAAUGCCUAAGGUUUCCUGAGGAAGGCUCGUCCGCUCAGGGUUAGUCGGGACCUAAGCCGAGGCCGAAAGGCGUAGGCGAUGGAUAACAGGUUGAUAUUCCUGUACCACCUCCUCACCAUUUGAGCAAUGGGGGGACGCAGGAGGAUAGGGUAAGCGCGGUAUUGGAUAUCCGCGUCCAAGCAGUUAGGCUGGGAAAUAGGCAAAUCCGUUUCCCGUGAAGGCUGAGCUGUGAUGGCGAGCGAAUUAUAGUAGCGAAGUUCCUGAUUCCACACUGCCAAGAAAAGCCUCUAGCGAGGUGAGAGGUGCCCGUACCGCAAACCGACACAGGUAGGCGAGGAGAGAAUCCUAAGGUGAUCGAGAGAACUCUCGUUAAGGAACUCGGCAAAAUGACCCCGUAACUUCGGGAGAAGGGGUGCUCUGUUAGGGUGCAAGCCCGAGAGAGCCGCAGUGAAUAGGCCCAGGCGACUGUUUAGCAAAAACACAGGUCUCUGCGAAGCCGUAAGGCGAAGUAUAGGGGCUGACGCCUGCCCGGUGCUGGAAGGUUAAGAGGAGCGCUUAGCGUAAGCGAAGGUGCGAAUUGAAGCCCCAGUAAACGGCGGCCGUAACUAUAACGGUCCUAAGGUAGCGAAAUUCCUUGUCGGGUAAGUUCCGACCCGCACGAAAGGCGCAACGAUCUGGGCACUGUCUCAACGAGAGACUCGGUGAAAUUAUAGUACCUGUGAAGAUGCAGGUUACCCGCGACAGGACGGAAAGACCCCGUGGAGCUUUACUGCAGCCUGAUAUUGAAUGUUGGUACAGCUUGUACAGGAUAGGUAGGAGCCUUGGAAACCGGAGCGCCAGCUUCGGUGGAGGCAUCGGUGGGAUACUACCCUGGCUGUAUUGACCUUCUAACCCGCCGCCCUUAUCGGGCGGGGAGACAGUGUCAGGUGGGCAGUUUGACUGGGGCGGUCGCCUCCUAAAAGGUAACGGAGGCGCCCAAAGGUUCCCUCAGAAUGGUUGGAAAUCAUUCGCAGAGUGUAAAGGCACAAGGGAGCUUGACUGCGAGACCUACAAGUCGAGCAGGGACGAAAGUCGGGCUUAGUGAUCCGGUGGUUCCGCAUGGAAGGGCCAUCGCUCAACGGAUAAAAGCUACCCCGGGGAUAACAGGCUUAUCUCCCCCAAGAGUCCACAUCGACGGGGAGGUUUGGCACCUCGAUGUCGGCUCAUCGCAUCCUGGGGCUGUAGUCGGUCCCAAGGGUUGGGCUGUUCGCCCAUUAAAGCGGUACGCGAGCUGGGUUCAGAACGUCGUGAGACAGUUCGGUCCCUAUCCGUCGCGGGCGCAGGAAAUUUGAGAGGAGCUGUCCUUAGUACGAGAGGACCGGGAUGGACGCACCGCUGGUGUACCAGUUGUUCUGCCAAGGGCAUCGCUGGGUAGCUAUGUGCGGACGGGAUAAGUGCUGAAAGCAUCUAAGCAUGAAGCCCCCUCAAGAUGAGAUUUCCCAUUCCGCAAGGAAGUAAGAUCCCUGAAAGAUGAUCAGGUUGAUAGGUCUGAGGUGGAAGUGUGGCGACACAUGGAGCUGACAGAUACUAAUCGAUCGAGGACUUAACCAAUUU